UGGGGAAUAUUGGACAAUGGGCGCAAGCCUGAUCCAGCCAUGCCGCGUGAGUGAUGAAGGUCUUAGGAUUGUAAAGCUCUUUCACCGGUGAAGAUAAUGACGGUAACCGGAGAAGAAGCCCCGGCUAACUUCGUGCCAGCAGCCGCGGUAAUACGAAGGGGGCUAGCGUUGUUCGGAAUUACUGGGCGUAAAGCGCACGUAGGCGGAUAUUUAAGUCAGGGGUGAAAUCCCAGAGCUCAACUCUGGAACUGCCUUUGAUACUGGGUAUCUUGAGUAUGGAAGAGGUGAGUGGAAUUCCGAGUGUAGAGGUGAAAUUCGUAGAUAUUCGGAGGAACACCAGUGGCGAAGGCGGCUCACUGGUCCAUUACUGACGCUGAGGUGCGAAAGCGUGGGGAGCAAACAGG
rnacentral:rRNA from 1 species